AUUGAACGCUGGCGGCAGGCCUAACACAUGCAAGUCGAGCGGAUGAAGGGAGCUUGCUCCUGGAUUCAGCGGCGGACGGGUGAGUAAUGCCUAGGAAUCUGCCUGGUAGUGGGGGAUAACGUCCGGAAACGGGCGCUAAUACCGCAUACGUCCUGAGGGAGAAAGUGGGGGAUCUUCGGACCUCACGCUAUCAGGUGAGCCUAGGUCGGAUUAGCUAGUUGGUGGGGUAAAGGCCUACCAAGGCGACGAUCCGUAACUGGUCUGAGAGGAUGAUCAGUCACACUGGAACGGAGACACGGUCCAGACUCCUACGGGAGGCAGCAGUUGGGAAUAUUGGACAAUGGGCGAAAGCCUGAUCCAGCCAUGCCGCGUGUGUGAAGAAGGUCUUCGGAUUGUAAAGCACUUUAAGUUGGGAGGAAGGGCAGUAAGUUAAUACCUUGCUGUUUUGACGUUACCAACAGAAUAAGCACCGGCUAACUUCGUG
rnacentral:rRNA from 1 species